rnacentral:rRNA from 1 species
AGCAGCCGCGGUAAUUCCAGCUCCAAUAGCGUAUAUUAAAGUUGUUGCAGUUAAAAAGCUCGUAGUUGAAUUUCGGGGUUCUACCGUUGGUCGGGCUUUGUCUGUACUGGCGUGUGGAAUUUCUACCUUCUGGGGAACCAUCAUGUUAUUAAUUUAACGUGGCGGGAAACCAGGACCUUUACCUUGAAAAAAUUAGAGUGUUCAAAGCAGGCUUGUGUCUGAAUACAUUAGCAUGGAAUAAUAAAAUAGGACGGUGGUCCUGUUUUGUUGGUUUCUGAAUCACCGUAAUGAUUAAUAGGGAUAGUUGGGGGCAUUAGUAUUCAAUUGUCAGAGGUGAAAUUCUUGGAUUUAUUGAAGACUAACUUCUGCGAAAGCAUUUGCCAAGGAUGUUUUCAUUAAUCAAGAACGAAAGUUAGGGGAUCGAAGACGAUCAGAUACCGUCGUAGUCUU